CCUACGGGAGGCAGCAGUGAGGAAUAUUGGUCAAUGGGCGAGAGCCUGAACCAGCCAAGUCGCGUGAGGGAAGACGGUCCUAUGGAUUGUAAACCUCUUUUGCCGGGGAACAAAAAGCGGUACGUGUACCGCAUCGAGAGUACCCGGAGAAAAAGCAUCGGCUAACUCCGUGCCAGCAGCCGCGGUAAUACGGAGGAUGCGAGCGUUAUCCGGAUUUAUUGGGUUUAAAGGGUGCGCAGGCGGCGAGUUAAGUCAGCGGUAAAAUUUCGGGGCUCAACCCCGACAAGCCGUUGAAACUGGCGUGCUAGAGUGGGCGAGAAGUAUGCGGAAUGCGUGGUGUAGCGGUGAAAUGCAUAGAUAUCACGCAGAACUCCGAUUGCGAAGGCAGCAUACCGGCGCCCAACUGACGCUCAGGCACGAAAGCGUGGGUAUCGAACAGGAUUAGAUACCCUGGUAGUC
rnacentral:rRNA from 1 species